GCCAGGCGCAGUGGCGCGUGCCUGUAGUCCCAGCUACUCAGGAGGCUGAGGUGGGAGGAUCACUUGAGCCCAGGAGUUCUGGGCUGUAGUGCACUAUGCCGACUGGGUGUCCGCACUAAGUUCAGCAUCAACAUGGUGACCUCCCGGGGGCAGGGGACCACCAGGUUGCCUAAGGAGUAGUGAACCGGCCCAGGUCAAAAACAGAGCAGGUCAAAACUAUAUAUCAUUCCCCCACCCUCCACUUGAGUGUUGGCUGGUCCUGUGAAUAUUACGGAAUAUCAUUCCCGU
ensembl:misc_RNA Metazoa_SRP Metazoan signal recognition particle RNA